rnacentral:rRNA from 1 species
UGCCAGACUCCUACGGGAGGCAGCGGUGGGGGAUAUUGCACAAUGGGGGGAACCCUGAUGCAGCGACGCCGCGUGGGUGAAGGAGCGUUUCGGCGCGUAAAGCCCUAUCGGCAGGGAAGAAGGAGGACGGUACCUGACUAAGAAGCCCCGGCUAACUACGUGCCAGCAGCCGCGGGAAUACGUAGGGGGCAAGCGUUAUCCGGAUUUACUGGGUGGAAAGGGGGCGCAGACGGCAGCGCAAGCCAGGAGUGAAAGCCCGGGGCCCAACCCCGGGACUGCUCUUGGAACUGCGCGGCUGGAGUGCAGGAGGGGCAGGCGGAAUUCCUGGUGUAGCGGUGAAAUGCGUAGAUAUCAGGAGGAACACCGGUGGCGAAGGCGGCCUGCUGGACGGCGACUGACGUUGAGGCCCGAAAGCGUGGGGAGCAAACAGGAUUAGAUACCCUGGUAGCC